rnacentral:lncRNA from 1 species
CGACGCCCCCCAGUACAACGCGUCUCCCGAGUCCACCAAUUUCUUCAAGGAGCACGGAGGCUCGUGGGACACCCCCUACGGGAACUUCUUCCUCUCCUGGUAUUCCAGCCAGCUCGUCGCCCACGGCGACCGCCUCCUCUCCGCCGCCUCCACAGCCUUCGGGGAUCUCCCCGUGACCGUCUACGGCAAGGUCCCGGUGAUGCACGCCUGGUACAAGCACCGGUCCCACCCCUCCGAGCUCACCGCCGGCUACCACAACACGGCCAACUCCGACGGCUACGAGGCCAUCGCGGAGAUGUUCGCGAGGCACUCAUGCGGCAUGAUCCUCCCCGCCAUGGACCUCUCCGACGAGCACCAGCCGCCGGCCUCGCGGUCCAGCCCGGAGGCGCUUGUGGCGCAGAUCAUGAGGGCCUGCGAGAAGCACGGGGUCGCCGUCUCCGGGGAGAACUCCUCCCUCCGCGGCCCCCCCGACGUCGUCUUCGGCAAGAUCAAGGAGACCCUCUCCAAGGCCAAGCCGUCCCCGGUGGGCCAAUUCACCUACCAGCGGAUGGGGGCGUACUUCUUCUCCCCCGAGCACUUCCCCACGUUCACGCAGUUCGUCAGGAGCCUCGACUGGUCCGACUUGCACCCCGACGACUUGCCCGCCGGCGACGGCGAGACCAUCCCCAUGACCCCGAGUUCGGCGGCCGAGGGCACCAGACAGAUGCAAGCCGUCUGAGAGGAGCAGCAGUAAGUAGUAGGCAGACGACGACGACGACGACGACGACGGAGGAAGAAGAAGAUGAUUCCGCCAUUAAUUUAUUACCCCCCACCUCCCUCGCUCUAUGUAAAUAGCAUAAUGGUGGUGGACUUGAUGCAUAAGCGAGGGCGUCCCCCGAGGAGUAGUAGCCCAGACACGAAGUGAUUUGUUAUUUUUGCUGAUUUUUGAGGCGCAAUAAAUCUGGC